AGGAUGAACGCUAGCGGGAGGCUUAACACAUGCAAGUCGAGGGGCAGCAUAGGGUAGCAAUACUCUGAUGGCGACCGGCAGACGGGUGAGUAACGCGUAUGUAACCUACCCUGUACAGGGGGAUAACCCGGAGAAAUUCGGACUAAUAUCCCAUGGAAAUAUUGAGAGGCAUCUUUUGAUAUUUAAAGUUCCGGCGGUACGGGAUGGGCAUGCGUAACAUUAGCUAGUUGGUAAGGUAACGGCUUACCAAGGCUUUGAUGUUUAGGGGUCCUGAGAGGGUGAUCCCCCACACUGGUACUGAGACACGGACCAGACUCCUACGGGAGGCAGCAGUGAGGAAUAUUGGUCAAUGGGCGCAAGCCUGAACCAGCCAUCCCGCGUGCAGGAAGACGGCGCUAUGCGUUGUAAACUGCUUUUCCAGGGGGAGAAACUUGCGUACGUGAUACGCAAUUGACGGUACCCUGGGAAUAAGCAUCGGCUAACUCCGUG
rnacentral:rRNA from 1 species